rnacentral:piRNA from 1 species
UCUUGGACAGAUUGCUACCAUUCUUUUCCA